GCAUUGUUAGACCGUAGGGGUAGCGGGGCAGACUGUAAAUCUGCUGUCAGAGAUGACUCGGGUGGUUCGACUCCAUCACGGUGCACCA
rnacentral:tRNA from 1 species